AUUGAACGCUGGCGGCAUGCCUUACACAUGCAAGUCGAACGGCAGCACGGGUGCUUGCACCUGGUGGCGAGUGGCGAACGGGUGAGUAAUACAUCGGAACAUGUCCUGUAGUGGGGGAUAGCCCGGCGAAAGCCGGAUUAACACCGCAUACGAUCUACGGAUGAAAGCGGGGGACCUUCGGGCCUCGCGCUAUAGGGUUGGCCGAUGGCUGAUUAGCUAGUUGGUGGGGUAAAGGCCUACCAAGGCGACGAUCAGUAGCUGGUCUGAGAGGACGACCAGCCACACUGGGACUGAGACACGGCCCAGACUCCUACGGGAGGCAGCAGUGGGGAAUUUUGGACAAUGGGCGAAAGCCUGAUCCAGCAAUGCCGCGUGUGUGAAGAAGGCCUUCGGGUUGUAAAGCACUUUUGUCCGGAAAGAAAUCCUUGGCCCUAAUACGGUCGGGGGAUGACGGUACCGGAAGAAUAAGCACCGGCUAACUACGUG
rnacentral:rRNA from 1 species